rnacentral:piRNA from 1 species
UCACACAAUUUUAGAUAGCAAUGCCUCCAA